AUGCGACAGAAAUACAAGGAUGCCUUAAGCUUGAAUGAGUCCCAAUUGGUGGAGUUAAAGAAUAGGCUUGAACAUCAAGAAACUGAAACGCGCAAAGCUGAAUCCAAGUUGAAAUUUAGCCUGGAUGAGAACAAGAAACUCAGAGCCGGAUUUUCCACGGAGAGAGCCACCUGGGAGAAGGAGAAGGGCGCCUUACUGCAAAGGGCAGAAGCUGCUGAAUCUUCAUUGAAGGAGACCACUGCAGAGCUGAGCGGCUUAAAACGCCAAAUUUCACAGAUGACAUCUGCUAUCUUUGGCCCCGGGAGCUCUAACCUUGGCCGAGAUAUGUUGCUGAAGCUCAAAGUUGUUUAUACUCUGGUGGAACAAUUAUACACUAGUACACAACGAACUCUUGUGGCUAUCUCCAAUGGCAAAUAG
rnacentral:rRNA from 1 species